rnacentral:rRNA from 1 species
GACGUAGGGCGCGAGCGUUGUCCGGAUUUAUUGGGCGUAAAGAGCUCGUAGGCGGCUUGUCGCGUCGACUGUGAAAUCCCGCGGCUCAACUGCGGGUCUGCAGUCGAUACGGGCAGGCUAGAGUUCGGUAGGGGAGACUGGAAUUCCUGGUGUAGCGGUGAAAUGCGCAGAUAUCAGGAGGAACACCGAUGGCGAAGGCAGGUCUCUGGGCCGAUACUGACGCUGAGGAGCGAAAGCGUGGGGAUCGAACAGG